UUUUGCAUCGACGGGUUUCACUGCCCACCGGUGAACCGGAGGGCGUGGCGUGCGCGUCGGGGUCUCGCCAGAUGUAGAGGGUUUAAAGUGGAUUUGCGAUGGGGCCAGCUCCUUCCGUAUUAGGUAGCCGGAAAGCAUCCCAAAGAGCGUGCGCCAUCUCUCCUUCCCGUUUUCUUCUUGAUUUAUGGCGGUUUCUCGUUCUUCAUAUUAUGGCGCCUAAAAGGGAAAAGCCGUCUGCGUCGUCGAUUACAGAAAGAAAUGUCACCCACGAAGCAGGGCAAUGCUUCUACGUCCGGCGAUGAGAAGAUGGUGUGGCGGCAUUUCAUCGGUGUGGGCGGAAAAGGACCGUCCGCUAUCUCGGUUCUCACUCAUGGCAGGCAAGAUACACUCACUCCCUGCUAUUGUUUGCUGGGCUUGAUACAUCUCUAUCUCUCUCACUUUUGAGGGCGUCCGUUCGCGUCCUCCUUUGGCCGGCAGCCAUCGCCGGUGUGUGAUGAUUGUUCGAAGCCCUCUCCACCCUUCAAUUGUCUUUGUUUGUUGUUUCCUAUUGGGGUUUCUCUAUAGUCCGUGGGGUUUAUCAUUUCAGGCUGGGGUCCUUCAUUUAGGCACUGGGCUGGGUCUUUCUUUGAGGUUUUGGUUGGGUUCUUCCGUUGAGGUUGUUGCUGGUUUUUAACAUUUGGUUCGCCAUUGGGUCGGAUGCUUUGGUCACCACUUGGGUCGCCGCUUUCGCUUUUGGUUAGUCCACCGCUUGGGUCCCUGCUGGUUCGGUUGUGGGUCACCGCUUAGGUCGUUGCUGUCGUUCUUACUGGGUCUACCGCCUUCCGUCGUCCCUUAGGUUGCUGUUGGGUCUGCCACUUGUGUCACUCUUGACAUCUGUCGCUUGGGCAUGCCGUUUUGUUGAUCUUGCUGCUGAGUCGCGACAACCGCUUCAGAUUGCUGCUAGAUCGCCAUUAUCGUCUUUGGGUUUGUUGCUGGGCCGUCACUGUCGAGAUGACUGCUGGGUGCUAUGAUUAUUGUUGUGCAUUCAUCGCAUCUAGCGUGCGGCUAUUCAAAUUCCAACCAGCCCGUCCACAGAGAUUGGGUGUUUUGUCAGCUUUGAACAUUAAAUUUCUCAUGGAUGGGGAAGGUGGGCAUUCAAGCUGUUGGGCAUUCUGCAACAUGCCUGAUACUCACGAUUUACUGCCUCAUUUCUGUUUGGUUUGUUGGUGGUCUCACUGCAUAAUAGUGCCAACCAGCUAUUCAUUCCGUGGUAGCAACUGAGCGGAUAGUCAUGUAUCGGGAAAGAUUUGCCGGAAUGUACUCUGCACGUGCCUAUUCACUGGCACAGGUCGCCAUCGAAAUUCCUUGUGCAUUGAUCCAAGCUGUUACAUUUUGGAUUAUCACAUACCCUUCAGUUGGUUAUUACUGGUCUGCUUAUAAGAUCUUAUGGUACAUCUUUUUGCUAUUUUCUAUGCUCAUCUUGGGAUGCUGGUGGUCUCAUUAACUCCAAACGCUCAAAUUGCUGCUAUCCUGCAAUCUGUUUUCAACACAUUACUGACUCUCUUUUCUGGCUUCCUGAUAUCUGGAAAACAAAUUCCAAAGUGGUGGAUAUGGCUAUACUGGAUGACCCCUUCAAAUUGGACUAUCCGUGGACUUUUUACAUCACAGUAUGGUGACAUAGACAAGGUGAUUGACGUAUUUGGAGAAAAGAAGGCAGUUAGUUUGUUCCUGAAAGAUUAUUUUGGCUUUCCGCAUGAUCAGUUGGGCGUUGUGGCAGUUGUUCUCAUCGCAUACGCUGUUGCCUUCGCUUCUUUGUUUGCUUAUUGUAUAUCUAAGCUUAAUUUUCAGAGAAGAUGAUUAGAUUUAUGUUCACUCAAUUUAUCUCAGCUAAUAUAGAACAGCUCGACUGCUUACAUUCU